AUCAACAUACAAUUUAGCACGGAAAUUUCAAAAAUGAAACAGCAUGAUAUGAAUGUAUGUGUUUUAAGUAUUAAUUACAUUGAUGUGUUACCAUGUAUGUACUUAGGUAAGUCAUGUAUCUAUUGUAAGUUGAAAAGAGGAGUCCAUGGCUACCAGAAACUCAAUUUUGGAUCUGGACCAAUUUCCAUUUGGACACAUGUUUGGACAUUUGGACCAAUUUCAAUCAUCAAACUACCUUAAUAAGUAUUAGACACAUGUUUGGACAUUCCACUUGCAAGUGUUUUAUUUUGGUCACUAGUCUAUUUUUUGUUGUAGACCUGGCACUCAAUUUUCAUUUACUUACUCCAUCAGUCACUACAGUCAAUUCACUACGAUGAAAAUAACAGAAUAUGCACGCGGAGGAGUGAUUUCCUACAUGCAUAAGCUCAAUAAUUAUUUAACAACUGUCAACCGGUAGGGAUAAGAAAUAAGUCCGUCCUCCAAUUGCAUGUUCUGUUAGUUUUCACACAAUUGAUUGCAUUGACUAAUGGAGUAAGUAAAUGAAGUUGCGUGAUAAAUUUGCAAAAAAAUAGAUGAGUGACCAAAAAAAAAAAGCACAAACAUAAGCUGAGUUCCUAAACAUGUUUUUAUACCAUAUACUAACUAUUAAGUGCAUCACAGUUUAAGAGUUGUAAUCCAAGUUCUCCUCCCAUGAACUUCACAUAAAGAGAAUCCCGAGUUUUACUUAGACUUGUAUUCAUUUGUGUUCAAUAAGGGACAGAAGGGACUAUCACAUAAUAAAAGGUGCAUUAUAUGCAUAAUGAAGGAGUUUGAUGAUUGAAAAGUGGAGAUUCUGAAAUCAGAAUGGUUUUUCUGUUUUUCUUAAAUUCUGUACUGUACAAUGUUCCCUAUUUGUAGUUUAAAGAUGUAAGGAAAAAGGGAAAUACAAUUAUCCCACAAUGUCUACAAAUCUGCAACAAAUCAAUCAAUAUAUUCUAACUAUGGAAAGGGGGAUCCUUAACAACUAUUCUCAAUCAAUUUUGGAUUUGAACACUUCCCCGCAAGUUGGAUCGUAAAUGUUGAUUGUAUCUAAUUUGCAAAUGAAAUCAUCAAAUUUCUGUCUAGGUAGUCCUUUGGUGAAGACAUCCGUAGUUUGUUCCAAUGUGGGGCAUAGGUCAUACAAAUAAUUCCUUCUUCUACCUUUUCAUUUAUAAAGUGUCUGUCCACCUCUACAUGUUUUGUUCAAUCAUGCUAAGUAGGAUUAAGGGAAAUAUUGAUUGCUGCUUUAAUAUCAUAAUAGAGUUUGAUUGGAAACUUUAUUGUGACAUGUAAUUUUUCCAUGAGCUUUCUCAACCAGAGUCCUUCACAUAAUCCUUGUGCAACAGCUCUAAACUCAGCUUCAGCACUACUUCUAACCACUAUAUUUUGUUUCUUGCUCUUCCACAUUACUAGACUUCCCCAUACAAAGGUACAGUGACCAAUAGUUAACUUUCUAUGGUCAAUCAAUCUUGUCCAAUUCACAUCUGUGAAGAUUUCAACCUCCUUCCUUUCACCCUUUUUAAAGAGUAGUCAUUCUCUCGCGGAGCCCUUGAGGUACCUGAGUAUCUUAUAGACAACUUCUAGGUGACUUUAUUUUGGAGAAUGCAUGUGUUAGCUUAAUUAACUAACGCAAAUGCAAUGUCUGGUCUGGUGCUUGACAAGUAGAUAAGUUUUCCAGCUAAUCUUAGAUAUCUAUCAACUUCUACUGAAUUUCCUCCAUCUUCAGUUUUCUUUCCACAUCCACGUAGGAUAUCACUUGGUUUACAUCCUAACAUGUCAGUUUCGAUAAGAAGUUCGAGGACAUAUUUUCAUUGUGAUACGCUGAUGCCACUUCCAUUUCCAGAAAUAUCGCGUUAAUCCCAAAUCCUUUACUUCAAGUUCGGUGGCUAGGGUCUUCUUUAGUCUUUCCAUCUCUACUAUAUUAUCACGAUAAUAUCAUUGACAUAUACGAUUAAUAUCAUUUUAGUACCAUCUUCAAAUUGUCGGAUAAACAUAGUGUGCUCUGACUGUCCUUAGGAAUAUCCUUGACUUUUCAAUAGUUUUGCAAAUCUGUCUAAUCAUGCUCUUGGUGACGGUUUAAGUUCGUAUAAAGACCUUUUUAGUUUACAUACUCAGGUUUUUUCCAUUUACUUUGCAAAAGUUUGGCGGUAGUGUCAUGAAAACUUCUUCAUCCAAUUCUCCAUUCAAAAAUGCAAUUUUAAUGUCAAGUAGUUGAAGUGGCCAAUCCAAAUCGGCUGCUAAUGAUAGAAGACUCGAAUUGUAUUCAACUUUGCUGCUAGUGCAAAUGUUUUUGUAUAGUCAAUGCUGUAGGUUUACGUGUAACCCUUUGCAACUAACCGAAUUUUAUACCUUUCUAUUAUCCGGUGGCUUUGUAUUUUAAGUUAAAUACCCAUUGGCACCCAACUGGUUUCUUUCCUUUUGGUAGAUCAAUUACCUCCCAAGUUUCAUUUUUUCAGUGCGGGCAUUUCCUCCAAUACUGCUUCUCUCCAUUUUGAAAUUUUCAAGGCUUCCUAAAUAUCUCUUGGAAUUUUUGCACUGUCAAGGCUAGAUGUAAAAUCACGAGCUCCUAUCGAUAGAGUAUUAUAGGACAUAAAUUUUGAAAUAGAAUGGAGAGUAGAUGAUCGAGUUUGUUUUCUAAGAGCAAUAGGUAGGUUAACAUCAGAGAUUCUUGAUAGCUGAAAAGGAUUUGGAACUAUUAUCGGUUCUAAUUCUCUUGGUGCUUCGGGUGUGAGAUUUUCCUUGAACUUUGAUUUUGGCUUCCUUCAAUAAACUAGUAUCUCUUUAUCCCUUUGCUUUCCUACAUGUCCUCGAGGUUUAAGUUUUCUCCUGUUAAUGGUAUACGAGAACAAGGUGGAGGAAUGGAUUUGAUGUUUAUGGUAUGUUGGGUUUUGAUACUCAAUAAAUUUGGACGAUGAUUUAAAACAGUUGUCGGAUAAUUUGUCGACACCAUAGACUUGGCUCGACUCGAAUACUACCGACACUUUAGGAAGGCCCAAGUUGGAGUUAGUUUUAUUGUCGAUGGAUAUAUGAGUCUUGGCCCAAUUGUUAUUAAGUUUGCCUUCGUUCUUAAGUGGCCCAUUUACCCAUUGUUGGCCCAAUUAAGUAACUUAAUACCCAUUAUAUAUCAAUCUUCUCCAGCAGCCGUUUCUUAUGGUGUGUGUGCAUGUGGAAGAGAGGAUCGAGAGAGAGAUAGCCGAGAAUGGGAGAGGCAGCCGGCUUGGGGGUUUGUUGGAGUGUAACCUAACAUUGUUGCCUCUUCUUCUUCCUAUUACCACCACCAUCCGUUUCUCUUUAUGGGGUUUGAGAGUUCUUGAAGCAAUCAAAGUGAAGGUUAAAGGUUUGGGUGGAGCCAAGGUAAACUAGUGUUCGUUUGGCUGUUUUCUGAGCCCAGAAUCAAGAUUUCUCGAGAGAUUUCCGCGACAUGGUAGGUUCAAGAGGAGGAAGACCACAGUCAAAAAAUCGAUAUUCAUUCCACUUCUCCCCCUGAAGAGAGAUUUUUUUUAAGUAGUGGAUAGAUUCAAACAAAGUGAUGCUAAGGCUUACAAAUAUCUCAUUCGUGGAAGGAUCAUAGCCUUUUUGUUGGAAAGUAUCCAAUCAAGACACAAUUAAUGGCUCUUGGAUCAAGUUUACUUUGAUAUGAGGAUGAACAUGAACAAAUGCAAUGCAUCCAUAUACUCGUAGAGAUAGAUUGGAGCCGAGGCAAGAGGUAGGGAAGAAUUUUUGAAAUUUUUAAAGGGUAUUUCGAAAUUUAGAGUUUUGUUGAUUAGGUAUUUAAAUGUCAAGCUAGCAUUUCCCCAGAAUACUUUAGGCAUGUUUGUAGUUAACAUCAAGGCACGAGCUACUUCUAGGAGAUGUCUAUUUUUACAUUCAGCCACCCCAUUUUGUUGGGAGUGUCGACGCACGAACUUUGAUGAAUUAUACUAUGUGUUUGAAGGAAGUUCCCCGUGAUUUUAUUGAAGUAUUCUGUGCCAUAAUCAGUGCACAGAAUUUAGAUUUUUUUUCCUGAAAUUAUGCUUGAAUCAUAGAGUGAAAAUUGACAAUCACGGAUCAAUCGUCGAAUCUUUCAUUUAGCAAGUAGAACUAACAGAUUCGAGUAUAAUCAUCAAUAAAGGUAACGAACCAUUUUGUAUAAGUACGGUUAAGGUUUCGUGAGGGCCCCAUAAAUCACUAUGGAUCAUGGUGAAUGAUUUCGAUGAUUUGUAUGUGGAUUUCGGAAAUGAAGCGCAUUGAUGUUUUGUAAAUUCACAGAUUUCACGUCGAAGGUCAACAGAGUUUUUAUUUGGGAAAAUUGAAGGUAAUACACAUUUCAAAUAUUGAAAAUUUGGGUGACCCAGUCUAAAAUGCUAUAACAUAAUUUCUCUAUUUCUAGGGACAAAUGUAGAAUUACAAAGUGUAAUUUCAUGUUGUUUAUUCUCAUCAACUUCUUCAAAAUAGCAGAGUACUUCACACUCCUUAGCAUUGUUAAUUGUCUUUCCCGGUGAUAGUUCCUGAAAAACAUAAUGAGAUGGGAGGGAAGGAAUUUAGCAGAGCACUUAGAAUUUUUUUUCAUCUGACUUACUGAUAAUAAAUUACAAGAUAAAUUUGGAAAACGAAGGAUGGAUUAUAGGAUUAUAGAAUCAGAGAUUUGAAUACUCCAUUUUCCUGCAACUUAUGAGAGUGAUUCAUCUACAAUUUUAACUUUAAGAUUACUAGCACAGGGUUAAGUAUGAGAAAAACCUAUGAUAAGAGUUCAUCAUGUGAUCGGAUGCUUCAGGGAGUUUUAGAUUGAGUGGUAGAUUUUAAGGCUCUCAAAAAAUUACCUUCGUGUUCCAGGGAACUUCACUGACCAUUCGUGGAAGUUUCAUUGGGCUUUUGAAGACUGGACAGAAUUUUGUAGAUUUGCUCUAUCUAUUCGGAAGUAAACUGGCUAUUGUGUAACUCUUGGGGUUUUCUGUUUGAUAAUCGAUCAACGCUCAGUAUCCACGGCUUUUUUUGUUUUGUCUUAAUUUCCAAUUUGUCAGUUUUCCAUGUAAGUCCCAACAUGUGCCCUCUUUAUGUCCCAGCUUCCUACAAUGUUCACACCAGGGUUGCCCUUUUUGUUAUUUUGGGCCUUACCUAUUUGCUGCCCCCUUUAAGUGAAGGCCCAUAGCUUCAGGCCCAACGCCAGAAUUUUUUAGCAACUCAUAUGAAUUUUGGGCUCCAUUUUUUUAUAAACCCAGGUCCAUUACUCGCCAGCCUAAUACCUAGUGGCCUUUGAUAAUAGGGCCGAUACUUCAACUCCAGACCAAUCACUCCACCAAUCUCCUCCAACACGAUUUUUAGUCGAUUUUUCUCUCGUCGAAAACUUCUGUGAAGACAUCCCUCGUGGAUAAUAAUGGCCGACGGUCCAAGAAUUCGACCCCUCACGUCAUCAAGGUUGCGAUGCAGUCCAGCCAAGAACUCGUAUACUCUCUCGUUUUCUAAUUUUUUUCUUGUAAAAGAGAGCUAUCCCCCGGGCAUUCCCAUUCUUCUUCAGAACUCAGGUCGAGUUAUUGCUAGUAUGCUUUCAUCUCCAGAGUCUGACUAUGUCUCCUUGACUGUGUCCCAUACAUCCUUCACGGUUGGUAGAAACAAGUAAGUUUUUCUGAUGAUCGGUUUCAUGGAGUUUAUGAGCCACGCUGUAACCACAGAGUUCUCAAACCUCCACUUUUGAAGAAGUGCAGCGUUGGUGGACUUCUUUGUUUCUCCAAUGAGGUAACUCAAUUUUUCUUUUCCAUCAAUUAUUAACUUGAUCAAUUGAGCCCAUUCUCGAAAGUUCUUCCCAUUUAGUUUUUUGAUUGUUAGUUGAAAAGAUGGAUUUUCCUCGGAACCUGCGGCAGAAGGUGCUUAAAAUUCACCAUUAAGAGAGUCAGAGGUUGCAGAUCCUUCGUUAUUGGUGGUGGCUUCUGUCAUGAUUUUGUUGUUGCCUUGGAGAACCACGGAACUCAUGAUUCGUCCGGUGCUCGAGUAUCCAGACCACGGCUCCCACGAAGACAAAAAACACGACAGUUAAACACC